UGAGUUGGGAGUUCGCGAGCACGCCACGUAUCUUAUUCUCGGGGCCACUCAACUUCCACAACAGAGCCGCUCAACCAGCUUGCAUAUCGGUCGUCAUUGCGCAUGUCAGCAUGCGACCUUACGAUUGCCUUGUGCCUGCCUCCACGUUGCCUGCAAUGCAGGGCCGUGGCCGCCGCGCAGCCUCCUCCUCCCGGAUUCGCCCGCUUCCCCUACGGCUCCUGCAGCAAGAGCUCGCCCUACCGCACCUACGAAGCCACCUUCCCUCAGGGACAGAGCGGCAACGUGUUCUGCUGGACGCUGCAAUACCAGGGCGGCCGCU
rnacentral:lncRNA from 1 species